GGUGUCACAUGACAUGCUGCUCCAUAAACAGCUUGGAAAUCUCUUAAGGGGAAACAGCCCCCCAGUGCUGCAAAGGCAGUGAAAACAUCUCGAGGGGGAUUUGGGCGUUAAAAGAUGAAGGUCUGGGAGGAGCAGGUAACAGCUGACUGCAGACACGAGUGCUUGCCCUGGACCAUUCUCAUCCUUCCUCUGGGCUGAACCAUGGGUGUGGAGAGGAGCCACCUUCAACCCUGGGAAUGAGAAGGUCUGGAACCACGCAAUGAGGAGAUGAUGGAGCACCAAGAUACAAGGAACCAUGGCUUGGAUGACCUCCCGGAGCACAGCUGUCCUGCCAGCCUUGAACUCCUUACCUGUGGACUGUUUUGUGAGUGAGAAAUAAACUAAUUUAUUUAAGGCUUUA